UGGAACCAGCAAAGAAGACAGAAACAACAGCCACAGAGCUAAAAAGGAGAAGCAAGUGAGUCUCCAAAACUAAGUGAAAAAGAUGUGUUUUGAAGAAAAGGGAGUGAGCAACUGUGUUGAGUGCUGAAGACAGGUCAAGUAUAAAGAGGGCUGAGAUUGGACCACUGGAUUUGGCAGCAUGGAGGUACCUGAUGCCACCAAUUCCUGAGUUUUUCUGCUGUUCAGUGGAGUGGACUAUCGCCUUCAAAUUAGCCUGGCCCUGGGCAGCAACAUGGUGUAGUGAAAAGAAAGCAGGCUUUGGAAUGGAUAGAACUAUACUUGAAUCUCUGCUCUAUCACCUUAUCAUGUUAUGUCAAGCAAGUUACGGAACCUCCAUCAUUUGUCAGGCUAAUUGUUUUGUAUCCCAUGCCAUCUUUUUUGGUAAGCAUAUAAUUAAAUGCUUUUUAUUAAACUUACAGGUGUGCAAUCAUCACUAAAACCCAGCCUUGAACAUGUUUAUCCCCCUCAAA
rnacentral:lncRNA from 1 species